rfam:Pseudogymnoascus pannorum VKM F-4516 (FW-969) contig_7, whole genome shotgun sequence.
AACGAAGUGAAUUGAAACAUCUUAGUAGCUUUAGGAAAAGAAAUCAAACGAGAUUCUACGAUUAGUGUGAAUUAAAGUAGA